CAGAUGUAACGUUACUUAGCUAUGUUCAUGUGUUUCGGGACUAAGUUAAUAUUUGUCCAUCGCAUGACCAGUCAUAAAUAUUCUGGAGCGGAGCGGAUUUUUUUGGCACGAUAGCUCGCAGCGUCUCGAUGACAACCAGCUAUGCCAGGGGAUUAAGGGUCUCAUUACCCACACGCGACAGACGCUCUCCUUCUUGAAGUUCAAAUGUCUGGCAUCACGUUCCAUUACCCGAACGAGACUCUGGAAAAUGACAGCAGACAUCUCCCACAGCUGGGUUAUGAGGGCAGAACUCAACAUUCUGUCAGAUUGGGAACGUCUUCAAGGCCCUCGACAGCUUGAGAUGGACUGCACUUCCCAUUUUCAUAUACUAACAGUAAAAGUAACAAGGCCAA